AGGGCAGUAGCUCAGUGGUAGAGCUUCCGCUUCGUAUGUGGGAAGACCUGGGUCCGAUUCCCGGCUGCUUUC
rnacentral:tRNA from 1 species